rnacentral:rRNA from 1 species
UACGUAGGGGGCGAGCGUUGUCCGGAUUUAUUGGGCGUAAAGCGCGCGUAGGCGGCUACUUAAGUCGGAUGUGAAAGCCCUUGGCUCAACUGAGGAAGUGCACCCGAAACUGAGUGGCUUGAGUACUAAAGAGGGUCGCGGAAUUCCCGGUGUAGAGGUGAAAUUCGUAGAUAUCGGGAGGAACACCGGUGGCGAAGGCGGCGACCUGGGUAGAUACUGACGCUGAGGCGCGAAAGCGUGGGGAGCAAACAGG